rnacentral:lncRNA from 1 species
GGGCUGGAUACUUGAGGGCUAGUAUACUUCAACUGGCGUGGCUGUACAUUUCUCUAAGAACAAAAUUUCAUUCUCUUUGUCCUUGAGCAUGAAAAGAAUGCCCCAAGAUUUAAACUGUAUGUGUUUUUGAAAAUGAAAUGUGAACAGAAUAAAACCUAAGAGAAUAUAUGUUGUAGAAAACUGGAAACAGUCUUUCCAAAUGAGUUCAGGAUGAGCAAAUCCCAACCCUAAUUUGUAAUGCGCUUUAAAGUCUUUAGCUCACAUAUAAGCCAUGUUCUCAAGCUUAUCAGUAACCAGAAAGAUGGUGUGAAUUCAGAUUAAUACUUAAAAGUUUUCAUUUGUUUUGUAAUUCUUUUCUUUGGAGGUUGCCUUGCUUUGCUUUGAGCAUAUGAGUUUUUCAGAGCCUGAGUGACCAACUAAACCUGGACUCAUGUUCUUUUCUGCACAUCUUUUUCCACAGAUAACACUUCAAUUCAUCAGACUAGCUUGUUUGUGCUGUCUCCCUGAAUUCUUUUGUAUGGCGUCAGUUCUUGAAAAUGUUCUUCAGUCAUCUCUAACAGGCCAGUGGGAUGACAUGAAAUGAUAGGCUGGAAUCUACCGUAAUUCUUCAACCAUUCAAGCAAUCAACCAAAUCUAAUCAACUGUUUGCUUCAUGUGGUUUUUGGUUUUGUUUUUAUUUUAGUUCCUAGCCUACUUUAAAAUGUCAGCACGUUAAAAAAAAAAAAAAGUUGGGGGGGGAGGGCUGAGAAAAUACUGUAUAAUUUUUUUUUCAUUCCCUUUCAUGGCCAGAAUAUAUUUAAUUAAAUAUGUUUCCCAGGCAGUUUGGGGUGGCCCUUUCUUUUUAAAGGAAAGAGGCAGCCAGAGAGUCUUCUUCCUUAAAAGAAUGUGGUACAAUUGCCUAAAGUAACUAGGAAAAUAAAAUUCACAUUUUAAAGAAAAUGUACA